rnacentral:sRNA from 2 species
UUGCGGGAGUGAUAGAAACGGCAUCCUUUUUUAUUUGAUAAGCCUUAUUAUGCAAAUUAGAAAUUAGAUUUCUAAUAUUGCUUUGAAGGUCACUUUAAUAACCCUCUAAAAAAGAUAUAGUGGAUAGCACGGUUUUUA